ensembl:lncRNA
UAAUGUAUUAGUGCAGGAUAAGGUUGAGUUGAAAGGCAUGAUGGAUACUGGGUCUAUGGCAACUACCAUCAGUGCAGACAUAAUACCCAUGUUAAAACAAGCAGGUGUGAUGACAGAAGACAUGCUGGCCCCUGCGGAUAUUGUUUUGGUGGGUUGUGGGGGAAAACAAACCAGUCCUUUAGGACUAUGUGAUUUGAAACUUGAGGUUUAUGGGUACAAGUUUCUGGUCCCAGUGUUGUUUGUUAAAGGACAGAUUGAUCCCAUUGUUUUGGGUACAAAUGUACUUAAGCCACUCAUCAGACAUUUCAAGUCAAAUGAUGGAUUUUGGCGUGUUGUAAGUAAACCUGAUUCACCUUGCCAGAAUGACAGUAGCCAGUUCCUUCGUCUUCUGUCUAACCUAGAGAGAUGGCGAGGGGAGUCCAUCCCAGACAAGGUUGGAACUCUGAAGUUGAAAAGUGCGGUAACUCUUCAGCCUAUGACUGAACAUUUGGUGUGGGGUCGGUUGCCCACGGGUACCGUAUUAUCAGCUGGCAGCACGGUACUCAUUGAGCCAUCUGCAGCUGCGUGUGUGAACAAACAGAUAAUGGUUGGGCGAAUAGUUUCUCCACUGUGGGGAGAUGGGUGGCUGCCAAUGAAGAUUAUCAACCCCACUUCAGCAGAAAUAACUCUACGCAGGAACUCAAAAAUUGCAGAUGUUUUCCCCUGCAUUGCUUUAGAGGACUUUGAUCAAUUUUCUGACACUUUGACUGUUCAUCAAAAUGUGGGGAAAGUGCAAAGUAAUAGUUCCUGCUGUAGCCUUACUGCCAGAAGCUUAUGCAGUAACAUCAUCGAUGUGAAUGAUAAGCUGGAGAAGCUAGGGCUUGGCACGAUUCCGAUUGGCAACUGCGAAGUUUCUUUACAGUGUAAGGAGAAACUUGUUGACCUGAUUGAGACAUACGAGUCUGUCUUCUCGAGACAUCAUCUGGAUUGUGGUGAGGCACGGGAUUUCUGCCAUCGCAUUAGAUUAACUGAUGACCGACCAUUUAGGUUGCCAUACCGCAGAAUAUCGCCUGCUCAUUAUCAUAAACUUAAAGAGACUUUGGAUGAGAUGGAGGCAAAAGAAAUUAUUCGAAAAUCCUGUAGUGAAUUUGCCUCUCCCUUGGUUCUGGUGUGGAAGAAAAAUGGCGAUCUGCGAAUCUGCACAGAUUUCAGAUGGCUUAAUGCCAGAACGGUUAAAGACGCUCAUCCACUUCCACAUCAGAGUGACGUCCUGGCUGCAUUGGGAGGAAACAUGUUUUUUAGCACCAUGGACUUGACGGCUGGCUAUUACAACAUACCCCUUCAUGAACUCGACAGGAAGUAUACUGCAUUCUCGUCACCGCUGGGACUGCACGA